GACGAACGCUGGCGGCGUGCCUAACACAUGCAAGUCGAACGAGGUCCAUGCAGUGGCAACACUGCGGAAGACCUAGUGGCGAACGGGUGAGUAACACGUGAGGAACUUGCCCCGGAGACCGGGAUAACCCUCCGAAAGGAGAGCUAAUACCGGAUGUCCUCACCGAGCCGCAUGGUUUGGUGAAGAAAUGGAUUCCGCUC
rnacentral:rRNA from 1 species